rnacentral:miRNA from 14 species
UAGGGUGACCAGCCAUCCUGGUUUGCCUGAGACUGAGGGGUUUCCCGGGGCAUAGAACUUUCAGUGCUGACACCAGGACAGUC